AAGUGGGGUCAUGGGUUGGGUAAAAGUGACAAUCCAUCCAAAAAGACCCUCCUUUUGGAGCUGCAGGCACCCAUCUAGCCAAACACCUCAUUUUAUUUUUGGAGUUCUAGAGUGGAGCAAAUCCACCAGAGUUGGAGCCAUACCAAAUAGAGCCUUAUAUUUCCUUUUGAGGACUAAUAUGUGAACACAAUCUUUUUUCUAGGACCGAUCUACAAAAUUGACUCAUCUUCUUCCCCAACCUCUCUUCUCCCACCCUCUCCUCCCUGGGUCCCUCCUGCUGCUCCUCCACUGCCCUCCGCUCAAAUCGGUAGCGGCCCCUGCUCCUCCGCCCGAAUCCAUGAGCCCCACCGCAGAGAAUCGACGCCGGUCGCGCUCCUCCGCCCUCCUCGUUGUGCGGCCACGCAAGCUCACCUAUGCGCGUCGGGGGUGGAGGUCGCUCGCGCGGCGGCACUCGCCCGCUCGUCCGCCGGAGCUCCCCGCGCGUGCCCGAGCCUCAGGAAGGAAGGGGAGAGGCGGCGAGGAGGCCAGAUCGACAAGCGGCGGCCUCCUCGAGAUCCUCCGGUAGCCAAAUCGAUGCGCGGGGCGGCACAGCGAGCGGCGCUGCGUGGGGCCACAGCUCGCAGCUCGAUUCGCGAGGCAGCACGACGGACGCAGAGGUGAGGGCAGGCGGCGGCGAGAUUAGUGCGGGGCCUAGGGAAGGGUGGCGCACGGCCAGGCGAUGCGGAGGCUACUCCGGUGCGACGGCGAGGCGGAGCAAGGGGGAAGGGGCCGCACGGCGGGAUAGGGCGGCGUACGGCCAAGCAGGGCGCAGGGCGCAGGGCGCACGGUGACGGGAGGAGCUCUGAAACAUCCGCACGGUGGCAAUGGGCUCUCGCACGUGGACAACAAAAUAUAGCAAUCCACUCUUUGGAUCGGUAUAUUUGGAUCGAGGAAAGAAAAAAGAUCAUGACCUAUUAUACUCAUUCAUAUAGGACUCGAAGAUUUGGGCUACAGCUGCGGGGAGGAUCAGAACCCGGUCAGCAUGAUCGCUCUCACCCAGUGUCUGGCUCCAAAUGUAAGGCAGACAUGCGUUCGGCAUCAGCAAUCCAGCAUCCUUGCCACUCAACAUAUGAACUGAACUGAGAUCCUCACCAAUGAUUGAUCGCUCAUCGAUGCAUCUAUUCUGUGCUACGGCCAUCAGCAAGCAACAAUGUGCGUACGAUCCAUUCUGCUUGGGCAUGGCGUAACUGUCUCGUCGCUGAUGUGCUUCUGAAUGAUUUGCUUGGACAUGACAUGACUGUCUCGACGCUUGAGGGUGGACUGUGUCAUGUUCAGAAAAGAACAGAGGAGUUCGCGUUCAUUAACGAAUUUAACACCUCACAGGCUCACCCCUGAAUAAGCUC